rnacentral:misc_RNA from 1 species
AUCUGGUAAUGGUACUUGUGUCUGCAAGCCAACGAUUAAGAUAGCCACGUUCGGUCCAUCACAGUUAAUGAACACUGACUGUAGUCAUAUUUAUCCGCUCUAGGAACAGAGGAGGAGAAGAAACGAAAGGAAGAAGAGGAGGAAAAAGAACGGAAACAGAAGAACGCGGCCAAAUAUCAUUAUCAGAUAGAUUCAGUUUCUGAAAAUGACGAAGAGGUGAACGGUGUUGACAAAGCAUUGAUGAGUCUUAACUCCUAUUACCUGGUUGCUACACGGCGUCUCUGUGACGUCAUCCCCAUGAUCAUACAGCUGCACGUGUUCCGGGAACAGGUGAAAGAAAUGUAGACCCUGCUCAUGGACAUUGCUUCGGAUGAAAGAACCAUGGAUCAUAUCCAGGAAGAUACAGAUAUGGCUUAUAUGAGGAUUGAGUGCAAGUCUCGUCACGAGAGACUGCUUCUAGCGGAAGAAGAGCUGGACAAAAUCUAGCGUUUAUCAAUGUCAGUCCUGGCACUUUCAUUGUUUCUGUCAUAUUUAUAUUUGUCUUUGUAAUUUCUUUAAUUCAAAAACAUGCUUUGAUACAGUCGCAAUCGUACAAAAUAGUACAAUGCACUUUAUUCAAACAACAAUGACAGGAAACGACAUCUUGGUUUUUCAUUGGACAAUUGAAAAAUGUUCUGGUCAACAUAUUGCACACAGAUUCCAGUUGGGAUAUUUAUUGCUUUUCACGCUAAGGGAUAUACUAAUUAUGUGUUUGUUUAUGUGUUCGUUUAAAAACGUUUCUUUAUUGGAUUAUGAAUUCCUAAAUAUCAGGGAUGUAGCUACCGAAAGCGGUGCCUGAGAAUCACACAAACGCAAAAAGCUCUCAUAUUAUUUUCCUGA